rnacentral:lncRNA from 1 species
UCCGUAAGUAGCCUUUUUCGAGACCUUGACAACUAGCUCUGAUACCGCUUGAUUGCUCUAAAGAUCAUUGACUUUUCCCACAAAACUUUUUAACGUGCUUUAUUCUCACUCACACGUUUUUUAGGAAACUUCUCAGAAGGUCACCCAUUCUAUAACUAUUCCAAGUCAAGCACGUUUAACUGGGAAGUUCAUGAGUGAU